GGAUUCCCCUAGUAACUGCGAGUGAAGCGGGAAAAGCUCAAAUUUAAAAUCUGGUAGUCUUUGGCUGCCCGAGUUGUAAUCUAGAGAAGCGUUAUCCGCGCUGGACCGUGUACAAGUCUCCUGGAAUGGAGCGUCAUAGAGGGUGAGAAUCCCGUCUUUGACACGGACUACCAGGGCUUUGUGAUGCGCUCUCAAAGAGUCGAGUUGUUUGGGAAUGCAGCUCUAAAUGGGUGGUAAAUUCCAUCUAAAGCUAAAUAUUGGCGAGAGACCGAUAGCGAACAAGUACCGUGAGGGAAAGAUGAAAAGAACUUUGGAAAGAGAGUUAAACAGUACGUGAAAUUGUUGAAAGGGAAACGCUUGAAGUCAGUCGCGUUGGUCAGGGAUCAACCUUGCUUUUGCUUGGUGUACUUCCUGGCUAACGGGUCAGCAUCAAUUUUGACCAGUGGAAAAAGGUCAAGGGAAUGUGGCAUCUUCGGAUGUGUUAUAGCUCUUGGUCAUAUACACUGGUUGGGAUUGAGGAACUCAGCACGCCGCAAGGCCGGGUUUUAACCACGUUCGUGCUUAGGAUGCUGGCAUAAUGGCUUUAAUCGACCCGUCUUGAAACACGGACCAAGGAGUCUAACAUGCCUGCGAGUGUUUGGGUGGAAAACCCAAGCGCGUAAUGAAAGUGAAAGUUGGGAUCUCUGUCGUGGAGAGCACCGACGCCCGGACCAGACCUUCUGUGACGGAUCCGCGGUAGAGCAUGUAUGUUGGGACCCGAAAGAUGGUGAACUAUGCCUGAAUAGGGUGAAGCCAGAGGAAACUCUGGUGGAGGCUCGUAGCGAUUCUGACGUGCAAAUCGAUCGUCGAA
rnacentral:rRNA from 2 species